UCCCUCUUAGCUCAGUGGUAGAGCGCUUCACUAGUAUCUCACCACAGUGAGUAACGUUGCAUGAAGAGGUCAGUCGUUCAAGUCGGCUAGAGGGAA